AAGUUUCUUUAAAGCAGAAACCGAGAUAUUAAUGUAACACAACAGGGCCGUGUUACUAAAGGAUUGUAAUCCACUGAGAUCAGACUCUUCAGGAUCUCAACUGCUAGCUUGUUGAUACUAAUAUUGAAAGAUGGAGACUGAUGAUCUGGACACUGAUAACGUGUCCCCACUCUCUAAAAAACACUUACCUAAUAUAUCUUGUAAACUUCAGGAAGAGAGAUCAGAAUCAGCAGCACCCAGCUGUGUCUCCAUGAAGAGUGAUCGGUCUAUGGAUGUUCCUGCUAAUUUUAAAGCUGGAGCCUCCUCACCUCUACACAG